AAGACUAUACUUCACAGGAUCAUUUCUGUAGUCAGUCUUCACAUACUUUCACACUAGCUGAAAGCCAAGCGCACCCGCGUUGAUGAGUUGAAUCGUUCUAUUCGGCAGCGUGAGGAUUUGUCCAGCGUCCUUCGGGAUGCAGGACUUCGAUGAUCGCUCGGUAGAAACGAAUAGAGCGAAUUCUGAGUGGU